UACGUAGGGGGCUAGCGUUGUCCGAAUUUAUUGGGCGUAAAGAGCGUGUAGGCGGCCAGAUAGGUCUGCUGUGAAAACUCGAGGCUCAACCUCGAGCUGUCGGCGGAAACCAUCCGGCUAGAGUUCGGUAGGGGAGACUGGAAUUCCUGGUGUAGCGGUGAAAUGCGCAGAUAUCGGGAAGAACACCCGUGGCGAAGGCGGUUCUCUGGGACGGUACUGACGCGGAGACGCGAAAGCGUGGGGAGCGAACAGG
rnacentral:rRNA from 1 species